GGGGGAACCCUGACCGAGCAACGCCGCGUGAGUGAAGAAGGUUUUCGGAUCGUAAAGCUCUGUUGUUAAGGAAGAACGAGUGUGAGAAUGGAAAGUUCAUACUGUGACGGUACUUAACCAGAAAGGGACGGCUAACUACGUGCCAGCAGCCGCGGUAAUACGUAGGUCCCGAGCGUUGUCCGGAUUUAUUGGGCGUAAAGCGAGCGCAGGCGGUUAGAAAAGUCUGAAGUGAAAGGCAGUGGCUCAACCAUUGUAGGCUUUGGAAACUGUUUAACUUGAGUGCAGAAGGGGAGAGUGGAAUUCCAUGUGUAGCGGUGAAAUGCGUAGAUAUAUGGAGGAACACCGGUGGCGAAAGCGGCUCUCUGGUCUGUAACUGACGCUGAGGCUCGAAAGCGUGGGGAGCGAACAGGAUUAGAUACCCUGGUAGUCCACGCCGUAAACGAUGAGUGCUAGGUGUUAGGUCCUUUCCGGGACUUAGUGCCGCAGCUAACGCAUUAAGCACUCCGCCUGGGGAGUACGACCGCAAGGUUGAAACUCAAAGGAAUUGACGGGGGCCCGCACGAGCGGUGGAGCAUGUGGUUUAACUCGAAGCAACGCGAAGAACCUUACCAGAUCUUGACAUCCCGAUGCUAUUUCUAGAGAUAGGAAGUUUCUUCGGAGCAUCGGUGACAGGUGGUGCAUGGUUGUCGUCAGCUCGUGUCGUGAGAUGUUGGGUUAAGUC
rnacentral:rRNA from 1 species